rnacentral:piRNA from 1 species
GAACAUCCAGCAGCCUUUGAUACGUGA